rnacentral:rRNA from 1 species
CGCGGCCUAUCAGCUUGUUGGAGAGGUAACGGCUCACCAAGGCAUCGACGGGUAGCUGGUCUGAGAGGAUGAUCAGCCACACUGGGACUGAGACACGGCCCAGACUCCUACGGGAGGCAGCAGUGGGGAAUCUUGCACAAUGGGCGAAGGCCUGAUGCAGCAACGCCGCGUGCGGGAAGACGGCCUUAGGGUUGUAAACCGCUUUCAGCAGGGAAGAAACUGACGGUACCUGCAGAAGAAGAUGCGGCCAACUACGUGCCAGCAGCCGCGGUGACACGUAGGCAUCAAGCGUUAUCCGGAUUUAUUGGGCGUAAAGAGCUCGUAGGCGGUUCGGUAAGACGGGUGUGAAAACUCUGGGCUCAACCCAGAGAGGCCACUCGAUACUGCUGUGACUAGAGUGCGGUAGGGGAGCGGGGAAUUCCUGGUGUAGCGGUGAAAUGCGCAGAUAUCAGGAGGAACACCAGUGGCGAAGGCGCCGCUCUGGGCCGUAACUGACGCUGAGGAGCGAAAGCAUGGUUAGCAAACAGGAUUAGAUACCCUGGUAGUCCAUGCCGUAAACGUUGGGCACUAGGUGUGGGUCUCAACCAACGAGAUCCGCGCCGUCGCUAACGCAUUAAGUGCCCCGCCUGGGGAGUACGG